rnacentral:rRNA from 1 species
AUUGAACGCUGGCGGCAUGCUUUACACAUGCAAGUCGAACGGUAACAGGCCUUCUGUUGCUGACGAGUGGCGCACGGGUGAGUAAUUCAUCGGAACGUGCCCAGAGGUGGGGUAUAACGCAUCGAAAGCUGUGCUAAUACCUCAUGUGAUCUGAUGAUGAAAUCGGUGGACCAGGCAGCAAUGUUUGGCCUCGCGCCUUUGUAUCGGCCGAUUUCAGAUUAGGUAGUUGGUGGGGUAAAGGCCUACCAAGCCGACGAUCUGUAGAUGGUCUGAGAGGACGAGCAGCCACACUGGGAGUGAGAAACGGAACAGACUCCUAAGGGAGGCAGAAGUGGGGAAUAGUGGAGAAUGGGCGAAAGCAUGAUAAAGCAAGGACGCGUGCGGGAAGAAGGACUACGGGUUGUAAACCGAUUUUGUAAGGAAAGAAAAGGAGAUGGAUAAUACCUGGGGAUGAUGACGGUACCGAAAGAAUAAGCAACGGCUAACUACGUG